GCGAACGCUGGCGGCAGGCCUAACACAUGCAAGUCGAACGAACUCUUCGGAGUUAGUGGCGGACGGGUGAGUAACACGUGGGAACGUGCCUUUUGGUUCGGAAUAACUCAGGGAAACUUGUGCUAAUACCGAAUGUGCCCUUCGGGGGAAAGAUUUAUCGCCAUUAGAGCGGCCCGCGUCUGAUUAGCUAGUUGGUGAGGUAACGGCUCACCAAGGCGACGAUCAGUAGCUGGUCUGAGAGGAUGACCAGCCACACUGGGACUGAGACGCGGCCCAGACUCCUACGGGAGGCAGCAGUGGGGAAUCUUGCGCAAUGGGCGAAAGCCUGACGCAGCCAUGCCGCGUGAAUGAUGAAGGUCUUAGGAUUGUAAAAUUCUUUCACCGGGGACGAUAAUGACGGUACCCGGAGAAGAAGCCCCGGCUAACUUCGUG
rnacentral:rRNA from 1 species